GAUGAACGCUGGCGGCAUGCUUAAUACAUGCAAGUCGGACGGGAAGUGGUGUUUACCGUGGCAGUUGGGUGCGAAACGCGAAAGAACCUGCCCUUGGGAGGGGAACAACAGCUGGCAACGGCAGCUAAUACCCCGUAGGCUGAGGAGCACAAGGAGGAAUACGCCUGAGGAGGGGCUCGUGUAUGAAUAGCUUGCUGGUGAGGCAGUAGCUUACCAAGGCGAUGAGCAGUAGCUGGUCCGAGGGGAUGAUCAGCCACACUGGGACUGUGACACGGGCCAGACUCAGGCGGAAGGCGGCAGGGAGGAAAUUUCGACAAUGGGCGGAAGCGUGACGGAGCAAGGCCGCGUGGGUGUUAAAGGCCUACGGGACGGGAACUACUUUUCCCAGAGUAGAAGCAAUGACGGUAUCUUAGGAAUAAGCAUCGGCUAACUCGGUG
rnacentral:rRNA from 1 species